rnacentral:lncRNA from 1 species
GUGUGGUCCAUUAGCCCUUUCUCCAUCAGAGCUACGGGGAGUUGUUGCAUCCUUUGGUAGCCUUCCCCUCUCGUGCUACAUCAUGUGGGAGAUAGGAUUAUUGUGAUCAAUGUGGAUGCGAAACCACCAUUGAUCGUGAUCUAUAAAGGUUGCUGCCCUCCAAUUUUCAGAGACCACUAUGGAUGAUGCUUUAGCAGGCAUCCAUGGUGAUGUCGAGGAAAGGAGAGCGAGAGGAUAGUAGGGGUCGAGAUGGUUGCUGAGCUUCAGCCCCCCGAUCCCUUAGUUUUUUUUCUUUUUGAUUUUUGGGUUUCAAUCCGAAGGACUUAGUUUCGGAUCUCAAGUUCGGCC